UACGAGGGGUGCAAGCGUUGCUCGGAAUUAUUGGGCGUAAAGGGUAGGUAGGUGGUCUCAUUUGUCAGGGGUGAAAGCCUUGGGCUUAACCCAAGAAGUGCCCCUGAAACGGUGAGACUAGAGUGCGGUAGGGGAGACUGGAAUUCCUGGUGUAGCGGUGGAAUGCGCAGAUAUCAGGAAGAACACCGGUGGCGAAGGCGGGUCUCUGGGCCGAUAUUGACGCUGGAGGAGCGAAAGCGUGGGGAGCAAACAGG
rnacentral:rRNA from 1 species